GACGAACGCUGGCGGCGUGCCUAACACAUGCAAGUCGAGCGGAAAUAAUUAAAGUUUACUUUGAUUAUUUUAGCGGCGGACGGGUGAGUAACACGUGGGCAACCUGCCCUUGAGAGGGGGAUAACACAGAGAAAUUUGUGCUAAUACCGCAUAACAUUUAGACUUCGCCUGGAGUUUAAAUCAAAGGAGUAAUCCGCUCAAGGAUGGGCCCGCGGCGCAUUAGCUAGUUGGUGAGGUAAUGGCUCACCAAGGCGACGAUGCGUAGCCGACCUGAGAGGGUGAUCGGCCACAUUGGAACUGAGAUACGGUCCAGACUCCUACGGGAGGCAGCAGUGGGGAAUAUUGCGCAAUGGGGGAAACCCUGACGCAGCAACGCCGCGUGAGCGAUGAAGGCCUUCGGGUUGUAAAGCUCUGUCUUUGGGGACGAUAAUGACGGUACCCAAGGAGGAAGCCACGGCUAACUACGUGCCAGCCGCCGCAGUAAUAC
rnacentral:rRNA from 1 species